rnacentral:rRNA from 1 species
UACGAACUGUGCGAACGUUAUUCGGAAUCACUGGGCUUAAAGGGUGCGUAGGCGGCUGCCUAAGUCAGGUGUGAAAUCUUCCGGCUCAACCGGGAAACUGCGCUUGAUACUGGGCGGCUUGAGUGGGGUAGGGGUGUGUGGAACUUCCGGUGGAGCGGUGAAAUGUGUAGAUAUCGGAAGGAACGCCAGCAGCGAAAGCGGCACACUGGGCCUUGUCUGACGCUGAGGCACGAAAGCCAGGGGAGCGAACGGG